AAGGCCAAGGUGAAUCCUGCUUGCUUCCAGUCAUCUCCCACCACAGUCAGACUCCAUUCCCCAUUUUUAAUUGUCACUGGAGCUCAAGGAAAAAACCUUUAGUGCUGGGCAAAUAGGAGCUUGCAGAGGACUGCAGGAAGGAGAGCCAGCUUUGCGUAAGAACACCUCAUCCAAGGAUAUGAGUCAAAGAAACAUGAAUUGCUCUGAACAGCCUGAAGGUUUCAACAGCAAUCAGUUAUUUAUGAAGACAACAAACCCUCCUGAGCAGGAAGUGUCUCACAUGUUCCCAUGUUUGCUGGAAAUUGACCACCGUAAUACAAAUAAUGUAAAGCAAGAUUUGGUCCAUGUUACUGCAAGAAGAGACUGAAAAUGAAAAGAAAGACAUUAGACUGAGGAGAACAUCAACAAGCAUCAGAUGAACUUAUCAUCCUGGCUGGUUUUUAGCCAACUUGCUGUGAGCCUUGGAGUCUGCUUUGUGAAAUGUCACUUCCAGCGAAGUCUGAACCUGCCUGUGAUCACAGUGGGGCUGGAAAGGAAGAACCCUUUAGCCAUCAGUGAGAUGAACUCUUAAAAAAGCCUUUUAUCAGGAUUCGGGCUUGAUUUAAGGUAAAGCGUACGUCUUUUUAUCCCUAGACUAUGGUAAGCUGAUGUGAUAGGUACCUGCAGUAUAAAGGGACUGGGCACAGUGUCCAAAGAGGCCCUGUGCUGUCCACAGUUCUUCUUCUUCUUGUCCACAUUCUGCAUAUUUGAGUAGGAAAACAAAAUAUUUCUAAGCACGAAAGCUCUAGUGUUAAGUUUUUAAUAAAACUGAAGUUCAGCUCCUGUAUUAGAAUCUAUCCCAAACAGAGGGAGCUUAACCACUACACACUGAAACCACUGCAAGUGUUCUAGAGUAAUUUGUUUCCUUCAUUCUCUGCAGACAGAUUCCUAAGCUGUAACAAGUGAAUAGUGUAAUUUCUUUAAAAUGCCUUUUCUUCCUUCUCUCUAUAUUGCCUUUGGCAAUCUUAAGCCUUCAAAGACAGCUACAGUUUUCCUGACAGUCUGCACUACUGAAGUAAGCCUUUAAUUGAGCACACUAGCAUCCAAAUAUGAUACUCUGUGCAGCUGAGUGAUUAAUUUUUAACUACCCUGGAUACCUCAGGAAAAGUAUAUAUACUGUGAAUACACAGGUAUUUUUCAUUUAAGUCUUUGCUUUUAUUUUCCCAAUGUGACCUCAUCUGUUCUACUGUGAUAAAUAGAAAGACAAUAAAUGGACAUCUUAAAUCUAGGCAGUGAAUUUCGUGCUGGUCAAAACAAGAUUUCAUUGUUUUCCACACUUGCAAGUAUUAGAAUUAACCCCCCAAAAAUUAUAACUAAUAAUCUUUUUAUUAAAGAAGCCAUUUAAUCAAGAACUGGAAGAGAAUAAGUUUUGCUGAUCAGACUGCUUAU